rnacentral:rRNA from 1 species
CAGAGAUGCUUUUGGUGCCUUCGGGAACUCUGAGACAGGUGCUGCAUGGCUGUCGUCAGCUCGUGUUGUGAAAUGUUGGGUUAAGUCCCGCAACGAGCGCAACCCUUAUCCUUUGUUGCCAGCGGUUAGGCCGGGAACUCAAAGGAGACUGCCAGUGAUAAACUGGAGGAAGGUGGGGAUGACGUCAAGUCAUCAUGGCCCUUACGAGUAGGGCUACACACGUGCUACAAUGGCGCAUACAAAGAGAAGCGACCUCGCGAGAGCAAGCGGACCUCAUAAAGUGCGUCGUAGUCCGGAUUGGAGUCUGCAACUCGACUCCAUGAAGUCGGAAUCGCUAGUAAUCGUGGAUCAGAAUGCCACGGUGAAUACGUUCCCGGGCCUUGUACACACCGCCCGUCACACCAUGGGAGUGGGUUGCAAAAGAAGUAGGUAGCUUAACCUUCGGGAGGGCGCUUACCACUUUGUGAUUCAUGACUGGGGUGAAGUCGUAACAAGGUAAGCGUAGUGCU